UUUUAUGGAGAGUUUGAUCCUGGCUCAGGAUGAACGCUGGCGGCGUGCCUAAUACAUGCAAGUCGAGCGAACGGACGAGAAGCUUGCUUCUCUGAUGUUAGCGGCGGACGGGUGAGUAACACGUGGAUAACCUACCUAUAAGACUGGGAUAACUUCGGGAAACCGGAGCUAAUACCGGAUAAUAUUUUGAACCGCAUGGUUCAAAAGUGAAAGACGGUCUUGCUGUCACUUAUAGAUGGAUCCGCGCUGCAUUAGCUAGUUGGUAAGGUAACG
rnacentral:rRNA from 1 species